CCUACGGGAGGCAGCAGUGAGGAAUAUUGGUCAAUGGACGCAAGUCUGAACCAGCCAUGCCGCGUGCAGGAAGACGGCUCUAUGAGUUGUAAACUGCUUUUGUACGAGGGUAAACGCAGAUACGCGUAUCUGUCUGAAAGUACCGUACGAAUAAGGAUCGGCUAACUCCGUGCCAGCAGCCGCGGUAAUACGGAGGAUUCAAGCGUUAUCCGGAUUUAUUGGGUUUAAAGGGUGCGUAGGCGGUCGGAUAAGUUAGAGGUGAAAUCCCGAGGCUCAACUUCGGAAUUGCUUCUGAUACUGUGCGGCUAGAGAGUAGUUGCGGUAGGCGGAAUGUAUGGUGUAGCGGUGAAAUGCUUAGAGAUCAUACAGAACACCGAUUGCGAAGGCAGCUUACCAAGCUACUUCUGACGUUGAGGCACGAAAGCGUGGGGAGCAAACAGGAUUAGAUACCCCAGUAGUC
rnacentral:rRNA from 1 species